UGCCCUGGAAGAAGACAGGAGCCAAAGCAGAUCCCUCGUGGCCAGGCUGGUGGGCAGCAGCUGGAUCCACUCUUCAGGAAACCACCCUGCCCCUGCCAGGAGCUCUGACUGUUUGUCCUACCAGCUCCUGAGCAGUGUCAGGGCCACCGUGAGGGAAUUCAAAUCCAAACAAACCACAAAGCCCACAGAGUGAAUAAUCCCAACAGAGAAAUACAUUGUUGUCAAAAAAGCUUAAAGAUCUGUUAAAGAUGCUAUGACAAUAUUGUAAUGGCAUUUCCAGGAACCUUCCUAAUGCUCUUGGCUUUCAUUCUUACAAAUUUUUAGUCCCUCAAUGGGCAACUUGUAGAGUUUAUCCUGAGAUUUAGAGGUUGAGCAGGGUUGGCUUUGGAUUGACCUUCACCUCUGGUCCCACUUGUGCAAACACAACUUGGGCCAAGGUGGGUGAACUCAUUACCUCAGCUUUUCCUUCAGAAAUAUCCCCGAUAUAUUUCCCUGUAGAUGAACUCAGAUUUUGUCCCAAACUGUCCACUCCUCACCUCCAUUUGCCCUCAAAGUGUCCAUUCUGUUCCCCACAGGUGCCCUGGUGAUGCCAGGAAGGUCCCUUUGCCUACAAUGCCUUUCUCCUGCCCCUCCCCAGCCUGAGGUUGCUCUUCUGCUCACUUUCUCUGUCCUUGUCACACACAGUGGAGCACCAAAGGGAGAAGGUUUCAGAAAACUUUUCUGAAGGGUAAAAGGGUACUAUAAAAUGAACUCACAACCAUUAAGGCCUGGCAGUUCCCUGCAGUGAGAGCUCAGUGCACAUCCACAGAGGCAAUUCCAGCAUCUGAAAAGAAGAAAAGAAGAAAAAGGACUUUUCCAAUCCAACCCUGAAGCUGAGAAGCCCAAAAGCUCUGGAGUCUGCUCUGGAACAAAAGGAUCCUCCCAGGGCUGAGGCCCAUUCCCAGCAAACCCUCCCAACAGGCCCAGAGGCGCCGCUGGAGCUCCUGCUGGGCUGGGAAGGGCUGCCAGGAGGACACAGCCCCAGGGGUGGCAG